rnacentral:misc_RNA from 1 species
AAGUCGUAACAAGGUCUCCGUUGGUGAACCAGCGGAGGGAUCAUUACCAGAGUGCCCUAGGCUCUCCAACCCAUUGUGAACAUACCUAUCGUUCCCUCGGCGGGCUCAGCGCGCGGUGCCUCCGGGCUCCGGGCGUCCGCCGGGGACAACCAAACUCUGAUUUCAUGUGUAUAUCUGAGGGGCGAAAGCCCGAAAACAAAAUGAAUCAAAACUUUCAACAACGGAUCUCUUGGCUCUG